rnacentral:lncRNA from 1 species
CAAUUUGGGAAAAGGAAUGAUCGCCCAGAUUCACUUGGAACUAGGAUUCUUCAACCAGACAACACCAAUCUUCUGAGUUCUAGAGAGACCAGAAUGACUGCUUAAGGAGCUGAAGAUCUGAGGGGGACCCGACUCAACUCCACUGUGUGACGGUGCAAAUCUCGACCACCAGCGAAGACGCCAGAGUGUAGCACAAGCGCAGAAUUACCUGCUUCAGUCAGCCUCGGCAGUUGUCACCGUUGCUGCUGCUGCGUCCUCCUCCUUCUCUUCUUCCUCUUCCUCCUCCCUCCCCUUCCCCAUCUACCCCACCCCCAUCCCUUCUCCACUCCUUGCAAACUCUGGAGCCGGAAAACCGAUUCCUCUCAGUCUUGCAUUCAGGGAGAUGAACAUGCCAGAGGAAACCUGCUCUAUUUAGGAAGAAUCCGAGGACUCUCCAUCAGGAGAAGUCAAGGAAUAAUGAACUGGAAGAAUUCCAUGGGAACUGGAAAGACCUCCAGGAAUUGA